rnacentral:rRNA from 1 species
AGAGUUUGAUCAUGGCUCAGGACGAACGCUGGCGGCGUGCUUAACACAUGCAAGUCGAACGGAAAGGCCCUUCGGGGUACUCGAGUGGCGAACGGGUGAGUAACACGUGGGUGAUCUGCCCUGCACUUUGGGAUAAGCCUGGGAAACUGGGUCUAAUACCGAAUAGGACCGCGCGCUUCAUGGUGUGUGGUGGAAAGCUUUUGCGGUGUGGGAUGGGCCCGCGGCCUAUCAGCUUGUUGGUGGGGUAAUGGCCUACCAAGGCGACGACGGGUAGCCGGCCUGAGAGGGUGACCGGCCACACUGGGACUGAGAUACGGCCCAGACUCCUACGGGAGGCAGCAGUGGGGAAUAUUGCACAAUGGGCGCAAGCCUGAUGCAGCGACGCCGCGUGAGGGAUGACGGCCUUCGGGUUGUAAACCUCUUUCACCAGGGACGAAGCGCAAGUGACGGUACCUGGAGAAGAAGCACCGGCCAACUACGUGCCAGCAGCCGCGGUAAUACGUAGGGUGCGAGCGUUGUCCGGAAUUACUGGGCGUAAAGAGCUCGUAGGUGGUUUGUCGCGUUGUUCGUGAAAUCUCACGGCUUAACUGUGGGCGUGCGGGCGAUACGGGCAGACUAGAGUACUGCAGGGGAGACUGGAAUUCCUGGUGUAGCGGUGGAAUGCGCAGAUAUCAGGAGGAACACCGGUGGCGAAGGCGGGUCUCUGGGCAGUAACUGACGCUGAGGAGCGAAAGCGUGGGGAGCGAACAGGAUUAGAUACCCCGGUAGUCCAA